rnacentral:rRNA from 1 species
UUCGCAAUGCCCGAAAGGGUGACGAAGCGACGCCGCGUGUGGGAAGAAGGCCUUCGGGUUGUAAACCACUGUCGGGAGUUAAGAAAUGUAAGGGUGUUAAUAGCAUUCUUACUUGACGUUAGCUCCGGAGGAAGCCACGGCUAACUCUGUGCCAGCAGCCGCGGUAAUACAGAGGUGGCAAGCGUUGUUCGGAAUUAUUGGGCGUAAAGAGCACGUGGGCGGCCCUGCAAGUCAGCUGUGAAAUCCUUCUGCUCAACGGAAGAACGGCAGUUGAUACUACAGGGCUCGAGUGCGGGAGGGGAGAGUGGAACUUCUGGUGGAGCGGUGAAAUGCGUAGAUAUCAGAAGGAACAUCGGCGGCGAAAGCGACUCUCUGGCCCGUAACUGACGCUGAGGUGCGAAAGCUAGGGGAGCAAACGGGAUUAGAUACCCCGGUAGUCCUAGCCGUAAACGAUGGGCACUAAGUAGAGGGGUU